UUCGGUUAAUCAUUACAUUGUUAAUUGUGCUAAUAUAAAUGGUAACUAUGUCAGUCAAAAUGCCAAAAAUGUGUUUCCUAAUGUAAGCAUUAUGUACUCUGAUUUGUUCAUUAACAAUUUUUUAUAUUUUCUUAAAAAUGCGAAUUCAAAUAAAAAGUUAGAUAUAUACUAUUUUGGAAAACUAACAUCAAAACAAAAAAAUAUAUAUGUACAGGAAAAUCAAUUAAAUAAUGAAACGGAUAAUUCGUUAGAUAGUAAAAGUGAUGGUAUAAAAGAAAUUGAAAAGGAGCUAGCCAAAUUAAAUCAAUACGAAAUUUCAAAACAACAAAUAAAAAAUUAUGAACAAGUCAUAAAAAAUAAUGAUUUUUUACAAACAAAUGAACAAUGUAUGGACAGUCAAGAACAAGGAAAGUUUUGUUUUGUCCUUAAUAUUGACAGUAAAAAAGGAAAAAACGAGGAUAAAGAAGAUUAUAAUGAUGAGAUGAGUCACACACGAAAUAAAAAUUUAUAUAAAAACAAUAAAUUACGAAAAGAAUUAAUACAAUGUGGUCAUACACGAAACAAUAAAAACGGACGUAUGUUAAGCGAAGGAAACAACAACAAUAACACAAUUAACGACAUUAAUAUAAAUUCCUUUUUUGAAAGGGUAGUACAACUAGCGAAAGAAAAUGAACAAAAUGAUAACGUAAACAUAAAACAGCUAAAUAUACUUUUAAAAAUAAAAAAAAAUAAAAAAAAUAAUGAUAAUAAUAAUGCAAAAUUAAAAAAAAAAGAUAAUUUGACUAAAAAUGUUGAUAUUUUUGAAAAUAUUUGGAACAAUAAUAACGAACAGAAUUAUAAUAAUAUAACGAUGAGUAGUAACACACCUCCUAUUAACUAUAUCGAAACAAAUAAAAAACAGGAGGUAAAUAAAAAUAUACAUAUUAACCUUAACAAUCAUCUUUGUAACAACAAACAGAUUAAUAAAAAAGGCGUGAACGAUAACAUGUCUAAUGUACAAAACUAUGAAGGUAGUAGUAAUUUUUCACAUAACGUCACAAACCAACAAAGCGAAAAAAAAGGAAAAAGAGAGAAAAGUCAAAAAAGGGGAAAAAGCCAAAGAAGGGGAAAAAGCCAAAGAAGGGAAAAAAGCCAAAGAAGGGAAAAAAGCCAAAAAAAUGAAAUAAGCAAAAUGAGCAAAACUAAAAAUGUACGUAAAAAAGAAAGAAUAGAGUUAAAAAACCUUUUUUUACUCCAUUGUUAUAACAUAUUAAAAACGAAUAAAAUAAAUCUGUCAAAUUUGAUUAGUGAACAUAUGUUUGAGCAUGACUAUUUUUUUAAAAAUGACUUCUUGAAAACAUUUAAAGAACAAAUUAAAAAAAAAAAAAUUAAAAUGAAACGUGUUAAGAAUGUGGAUAAUGUAAAUGUGGGUAAUGUAAAUGUGGGUAAUGUAAAUGUGGGUANNNNNNNNNNUGUGGGUAAUGUAAAUGUGGGUAAUGUAAAUGUGGGUAAUGUAAAUGAGGAGGAACGAAGGAGAAAAAAUGAAAAUAAUAAAAAAAAUGAAAAUAAUAAAAAAAAUUACGAACAACCUAAUGGAUAUAAUGACCGUGAUGAGUGUAACAACAAAACUUAUAAUACCUAUGAAGGCAUUAGUAACAAUAAAUUAAACAAAAUAAGUAAUCAUACUUUGAAUAAAAUUAUGUUUAUCAGCAUAUUAUGUUUUUUGUACAAUUAUAGCAACAUAACAAUAUUACAGCAAGUUAUAUUGAAAUGUUUAACACUUUUAUCUAACUAUAUAAUAUAUAAAGAAGAUUUAAAAAAAUAUAAACAAAUAUUUCAUUAUUACUUUUUGAAAUUUAUUAAAAAAGAUAUAUCAAUAAAUAAAUUUAUAAAAGAAAAUAAUAAAACGAAUUCUAACAUAAAUAAAAUAAAUUAUUAUAAGGAUUAUAUUUUUGAAAAGAAAAAUAUGGAUAAUAAUUUUUCUGUACCUGUUUUUAAUAAACAUAUGAAAAUUAAUAAAUACAAACAUGUAGUAUCAGAUCAUAAUUUAUAUUUUACCACUCAAGACAAUCGAAGUGAGGUUAUUCCAUUAUCUCAUGGCUUGUUCGUGUGGUCUAAUCGCAAUAAUAAAAGUAGGAGUAAUGGUAGGAGUAUUGGUAGGAGUAUUGGUAGGAGUAUUGGUAGGAGUAGUGGUAGGAGUAGUGGUAGGAGUANNNNNNNNNNUGGUAGGAGUAUUGGUAGGAGUAGUGGUAGGAGUAGUGGUAGGAGUAGUCGUAGGAGCAGUGUUAGGAGUAGUCAUAGGAGCAGUGUUAGGAGUAUUGGUAGGAGUAAUGGUAAUUUUAAGACGUAUUUACGUUUUUUGCGAUAUAAUAAUAGUAUAAUAUAUAAAAAAAAUGAGGAUGAAUUUUUUUUUUUUAAAAAUAACAAUAAAAAUAUAACAAAUUAUAUAUAUAUUUAUUUUAUUAAUAUUAUUAAUAAGUUAAGCAAAAAUAAUAAAAAUAGUAAUAUAACAGAAUGGUUAUUUAAAAUAUUUUAUAAAAAUAAAUAUGUACAAUUCUUUGAUUUAUUUUUUCUUUUCGAUAGAAAUAGAAUGUAUAUGAUUUUGAGGGAUCCUUUUUUUUUUUUAAUUAAAAAAAUGAAAGAAAAACGUGAUAUUACAGAGUGUAUUGAUAAGUACAAUAUCACCCAAAGGUGUAUCAACAACAACACUCACAAACAUAACACUCAAAAACACAACACUCAAAAACACAACAUUAAUAACAAAAAUAAUCCACAAACAGAUGAAAAGAAAAAAAGUGAUAACAAGGAUGAUAGUUACCGUAGUGAUUACUUUUAUAUGAUCAGACAAGAAUUUUUCGAAACUUUUUAUUUUUUUCAACCUAAUAAAAAAUAUUACAGAAACGUCAAAUUGCUUUUUUAUUUCUCUCUUUUUAAUUUGUUUAAAAGUCAAAAAAUAAUAAAUUUAUUUAGGGAAAAAUGCUUAUUAUUUUUACACAUAGUUUGUGACAUUUUUUUUCAGAAAAACAAAAAAAAAAAAAAAACAAAGGUUUUUUUUGUUACUACUUCCGGGGAGAAAGAAAAAAAUAAAGCACAGAAUGAGAACAAAAAACAAAGGGAAAAUGAUAAUAAUGAAAAAAUAAUGGAAGACAAAAAAAAAAAAAAUAAAAUAAAAAAAAACGACAAGCAUGAUGAUGAUGAUGAUUUAAAAACUACCAACUCUUUAAUCUUAAACCUUAAAUUGGAUAAAAAUUUUAAUAAUAACAAACUUAAUGUCGUCGAAAGUGAGGAAAAUAGAAAAGACUAUAAUUUUUUAUGUAAUAAUAAAAACUACCUGAAUCGUACAGGUAAUAAUUCAACAUAUUCAAACAAAACGUUCAUUGAUCAAUCAUUGUCAUAUAACAUAUGUACAUUAUCAAAUAAUUACUUAGACAACUUAAUAGAAAUCAGAGACAACAAAUCAGAGUCUAUUUCAGAGGAAACAACUGAGUCUGAUCAAAUUACUGACGAAUGUUUUUCUUUUCUUUCACCUGUGUCAAGUGGACCUAUUAAAAAAAAAAUUGCAAAAAUUUAUAGGGACCUGUACAAUUCAGAAAAUAUAAAAAAAAUAAAAAAUAUAAUUAUAAACAUUGAAAAAAAAUAAAUAUGAACAAACUAAUUUUUCUUUUUUUUAUUUAUACAGAAUAGGAAUUUAUUGUAUGAAUUUUGGUUUUUUUAAGUAUAGCUGUAAAAUAUUUACUCGAAUUUUGUUUUUAGUUACUAACAAAGAUAUAAAAUUAUGGUGUAAAAUUUUGUUAGAUUAUUCUAAGUUUUUUAAUGUAAAAAAAAAAAAAAUUAUUAAAUAUAGCGUUAAGACGAAAAAAAAAAAAAAUUUAUUUGGACCUUUAAAAUAUUUGAAAAAUUCUGAACAGUUAAUAAAAAAAAUAUUUAAUUAUAAAGAAAAUGUUGU
rnacentral:lncRNA from 1 species